CCUACGGGAGGCAGCAGUGAGGAAUAUUGGUCAAUGGGCGCGAGCCUGAACCAGCCAAGUAGCGUGAAGGAUGACGGUCCUAUGGGUUGUAAACCUCUUUUAUCGGGGAGCAAAAGGCGCCACGCGUGGGGUUCCGAGAGUACCCGAUGAAAAAGGAUCGGCUAACUCCGUGCCAGCAGCCGCGGUAAUACGGAGGAUGCGAGCGUUAUCCGGAUUUAUUGGGUUUAAAGGGUGCGCAGGCGGAAGAUCAAGGCAGCGGUAAAAUUGAGGGGCCCAACCUCUUCGAGCCGUGGAAACUGGCUUUCUUGAGUGAGCGAGAAGCAUGCGGAAUGCGUGGUGUAGCGGUGAAAUGCAUAGAUAUCACGCAGAACUCCGAUUGCGAAGGCAGCAUACCGGCGCUCAACUGACGCUGAUGCACGAAAGUGUGGGUAUCGAACAGGAUUAGAUACCCCAGUAGUC
rnacentral:rRNA from 1 species